rnacentral:lncRNA from 1 species
GGCGGCGUGUUUGAAAGCGAGGCCAAAGUGGGUGGGAGCGCGUGCUGUUGGGAGUUGCUUGGAGGUUGGCGGCGCGGGGCUGAAGGCUAGCAAACCGAGCGAUCAUGUCGCACAAACAAAUUUACUAUUCGGACAAAUACGACGACGAGGAGUUUGAGUAUCGGUUAGUGCUGGCGCGGGAGCAAUAGCGAGGGUCGUGAGCUUUGGCCGCUGAGGGCACAAGGAAUUAGUAACAGGAACUGAGGCGAUAGAAUUGGCGCAUGCGUACGAGAACCUCACAUCUUGCUGUUCCGGCGCCCACUACCCAAGAAACCAAAGAAAUGAAGCUGGCAAGCUACUUUUCAGCCUCAAGCUUUACACAGCUGUCCUUACUUCCUAACAUCUUUCUGAUAACAUUAUUAUGUUGCCUUCUUGUUUCUCACUUUGAUAUUUAAAAGAUGUUCAAUACACUGUUUGAAUGUGCUGGUAACUGCUUUGCUUCUUGAGUAGAGCCACCACCACCAUAGCCCAGCCAGAUGAGUGCUCUGUGGACCCACAGCCUAAGCUGAGUGUGACCCCAGAAGCCACGAUGUGCUCUGUAUCCAGAACACACUUGGCAGAUGGAGGAAGCAUCUGAGUUUGAGACCAUGGCUGUUACAGGGAUCAUGUAAACUUGCUGUUUUUGUUUUUUCCUGCCGGGUGUUGUAUGUGUGGUGACUUGCGGAUUUAUGUUUCAGUGUACUGGAAACUUUCCAUUUUAUUCAAGAAAUCUGUUCAUGUUAAAAGCCUUGAUUAAAGAGGAAGUUUUUAUAAUCU